GACGGCAAAUGAUGAGAAAUUGUUAUCCUACACGCUGAACUAAAUGUAGACUAUAACUCCGCUUAUUAUCUUAUGCCUUC